CAUCUCAGUUCGGAUUGCAGGCUGCAACUCGCCUGCAUGAAGCUGGAAUUGCUAGUAAUCGCGGAUCAGCAAGCCGCGGUGAAUACGUUCCCGGGCCUUGUACACACCGCCCGUCACACCAUGAGAGUCGGGAACACCCGAAGUCCGUAGUCUAACCGCAAGGGGGGCGCGGCCGAAGGUGGGUCCGGUAAUUGGGGUGAAGUCGUAACAAGGUAGC
rnacentral:rRNA from 1 species